rnacentral:rRNA from 1 species
CACGUAGGGGGCGAGCGUUGUCCGGAUUUAUUGGGCGUAAAGAGCUCGUAGGCGGCUCAGUAAGUCGGGUGUGAAAACUCCAGGCUCAACCUGGAGACGCCACCCGAUACUGCUGUGGCUAGAGUCCGGUAGGGGAGCAUGGAAUUCCUGGUGUAGCGGUGAAAUGCGCAGAUAUCAGGAGGAACACCAAUUGCGAAGGCAGCUCGCUGGGACGUAACUGACGCUGAGACGCGAAAGCGUGGGGAGCAAACAGG